UACGUUUGGUUCAGGGUUGUUAACCAUAUACUACAAUGUGGCUAAUUUCAACAUUGUUUGUCAAAUGGCAUUUGUCUUUUAGACAAUUCCCAUUUCAGUUCAAGAACAUAUACAUGCAACGUGAUGUUAUGAAAUUGUAACAUUCCUGAAUGAUAUGAACAUGUUGCCACUAUUUGAGUGUACUCAGCGAAUAUUGAGAUUGACUUAGAUAGUGACUUGUAUGGCGACGAUGUUCUUUUAUCAUUUGUAUAAUGCAACCUGAGCUCAGGCGUGAUUACCCGCUGAACUUAAGCAUAUCAUUUAGCGGAGGAAAAAAAACUAAAAA
rnacentral:rRNA from 1 species